rnacentral:rRNA from 1 species
UCUUUGAUGGCGACCGGCGCACGGGUGAGUAACACGUAUCCAACCUGCCGAUGACUCGGGGAUAGCCUUUCGAAAGAAAGAUUAAUACCCGAUGGCAUAGUUCUUCCGCAUGGUAGAACUAUUAAAGAAUUUCGGUCAUCGAUGGGGAUGCGUUCCAUUAGGUUGUUGGCGGGGUAACGGCCCACCAAGCCUUCGAUGGAUAGGGGUUCUGAGAGGAAGGUCCCCCACAUUGGAACUGAGACACGGUCCAAACUCCUACGGGAGGCAGCAUG